rnacentral:lncRNA from 1 species
CAUCAUUUAUUAAUUGAGCGUGGCACAUAUCUAUCACAUGGACAAAUGAGUAGAGAGAUUGUUGCGGAAUCCAUAUUGAGUCACAACGUACACGAAUCUUCACUAAUGGAUAAUCUCACGAAGGAGCAUUAAUAAGCAAUUGAUAAUCUCAUCGAUCUACCCUAAUACAUUAUUUGUUCUACAGUUAAUCAGCUUUUAAAACAAACCAACAGUUCAGAAAAGUUGUGCGCUCAAGGGGUUUUUGAAUGUUCGGCGAUCGAUAUCGAGCUCCCAUCAGCUCCGAUCAGCGCCGAUAAGCGCCACCGUAAGGCUGAUCGCUCGGGACGAAAGGGUAUGGGAGCGCGGUAACCUUGAGAGCAUCUACAUUGGAAUCCUGAAUGGAGUUGAAGGGGUGGUCGCCAUUGCUUUGAAGCUUUGUCUAGACAAUCUGAUCUCUGCAAACUGGAGUGCCUUUCUUCCUGGCGUCCUCCGGCACGGCUG